GGGUGUGGUGCGGGGGGUGUGGCCGCGGCUUUCCCGCGCAAACGCUCCCCCCCCACGCCCCCUCCCCGCCCUCAGUGUUCGCCGCCGCCGCCGAGGCUUCGCCCGCUGCCCCGCUGAGGGGCGGCGGCGGCGCGGCCUCGACACGGGAAGCGCGGCGGGGGCGAAGAGGAGGCAGCGAGCGAGGAAGAGCCGCCCCCCCGUCCCCCGUCCCCACACACACACACACACACACCCCCUCCCCGGGGCCGGCCCCGCGCGCCGCCGCCUCGCGACCCCCGCCCCCCUCACGGCCGCCCCCCCCCCUCCCCUCACGGCCCCGGCCGGACCUUCCCGAAGAAAGGCAUCGGCGGCGGCGGGAAGAGAAGGAGGAAGAGGAGGAGGAGGAGGAGGAGGAGGAGGAGGGAGCCACCCGUCCCUCUGUCCCUUUAGCAAGGUGACCUGCGUGCCUCGCCACGGUGCCUCCAGCCCAAAUAUUCCAGCAUCCCCAAGCUGGCUGGGAACGGCCGUAACAAAGAGUGUCGGCGGCUCUUUGUGUCGUCUGGCGUUCCGGGCUCUCGCAGGCUUUCCAGCUCAUCCACGGGGGCUGCAAACUUCCCUUCUGAACGAAAGCUGAGGGCUUUGCUUUUCUUCCCCGCAGUCACACGGAUUCAGGAGCUUGAACUCCGAGAGACGCAAUAAGCGAUUGUGUUACGAGCCUUGGCAGCGCCAAAUCCGUGAGCACGGGAUGGUGCAGACAGAAGAGUGCAGGUUACCUCUAACUCAGGUAGUGGAAAGUCUUACCUGGAUCUUCCCUGCUGAGGCUUGGAAUUUAGCAAAGGAAAAACAUACCUGUAAGACUUGUCACUGUACUGAACCAUACUGGGAGGGCAGGAGGAAUCUGAAGAAGAUUUUCAAGCACUAAGCAUAAAAAUAAAUGACAACAUAAAACCCAUGUGAAGAAGGCAGUAAAGCAUUUACAUUUGUCUUAUUUCCAGAUACAAAUAAUUGCAUCCAAUAACCCUCACAAUCAUGCAUGUGAUACAUAGCUUUGUAAUCAAAAAUAAUUUGCGAUGAGGCAAAAUAAGCAUCCCAAGUUUUUGAAAACAUUCCCAGUUUAACACCAAAUAGUUGCUGUGUGAUAAGAACACAAAUGUGUGGGAGGCCUUUCAAGGAAAAAAAAAAGUCUUUAUGUGAGGCAAACUUUCAACAUUAGGACAACUCACUCUGUUUACAGCAACAUUUUUCUGUUUAUAAACAACAUUCUUCAUGAGGAAACGGGAAUUCUGGAGAAGUGUGAGAGAGGACAUAAAGGAUUUUCACAAUAUAACAGUUUUUAUCUUUAAGCCAGUCAUAGACCAGUUUUCCUACUGUUGUGAUUUUUAAUAGUCCCAUAAACUCUAUUUCCCCUCCUUAUUUCUGCAGUGGAUACAGCCUCUAUCCUUAACCUAAAUAUUAACAGGAUUAUAUGGAUAAAUUUUGCUUCAGGUG